CAGCUUCCCAUAGCCCAGCUGUUCUAUAGGAACUCGGAGUCAGCUCUUCUCCACUGCGAGCUGGAUAAGACCAGUUGGGACCGCUGAUCCUAAAACUGACCUGAGUGGUGUCUCAUGAAUGGCCUUUGGAAGGCAGAGGACUAGAAAACUCCACCCUCAGAUCCUUCUGGGCACCUCCAUUUAAAAUAUGCAGAGGUGAGCAACCCAAUGCGCCUGCGCAGAUGACCUCACCUCUUUCUGCACGAAUCACCUUUCCCCAAUACUUUGGCCACCUCAUGCGAAGAGUUGACUCAUUGGAAAAUACCCUGAUGCUGGGAGGGACUGGGGGCAGGAGGAGAAGGAGACAUCAGAGGAUGAGAUGGCUGGAUGGCAUCACGAACUCAGUUGACUCAUGUCCAGCUCUUCCUGAUUCCAUGGACUGUAGCCCGCCAGGCUCCUCUGUCCAGGCAAGAAUACUGGAGUGGGUUGCCAUUUCCUUCUCCAGGGGAUUUUCUCGACCCAGGGAUCAAACCAGCAUCUCUUGCAUUGGGCUCAAUUCACAUUCCCCUCUCCUCCCUGUUUGUUUUCAUUGCAAUCAAGGAAAGUUUACUGCAUUCAUACUUCUUAAAGGUGAAAAUUUUGACUUCCCUGGUGGCUCAGACAGUAAAGUGUCUGCCUACAAUGCGGGAGACCUGGGUUCAAUCCCUGGGUAGGGAAGAUCCUCUGCAAAAGAAAAUGGCAACCCAUUUCAGUACUCUUGCCUAGAAAAUCCCAUGGACGGAGGAGCCUGGUAGGCUACAGUCCAUGGGAUUGCAAAGAGUCAGACAUGACUGAGUGACUUCACUUUCACUUUCAUUGACUGUGAAUAAAAUAAAAUAUACAUUCAUUUGGUCUAUGGUUUUUUGUAAGAAAUGAGGCUUUUUUUCUUAUAGUAAUUACUGUUUUUGCAACUGAAAUAGUAAAAUUGAGAAUUUUUCAUUUCAUAAUUUUAUAGGCAUCUAAUAUAUUACAGAAAAUUAAUACAUUUAAUAUGUAAAACCUUAUCAAUUAAUGAGUAAAACAAACAGACCAAUUAAAAAGUACUAAGGAUCCGAG
ensembl:lncRNA